rnacentral:rRNA from 1 species
GAUGAACGCUGGCGGCGUGCCUAAUACAUGCAAGUCGAACGAAGAAUGUAGCAAUAUGUUCUUAGUGGCGAACGGGUGAGUAACGCGUUGGUGACCUGCCCCGAAGCGGGGGAUAACAGUUCGAAAGGACUGCUAAUACCCCAUGUGGUCACAGAGAUUAGAUGCUCUGUGUCUAAAGGCGUAAGCCACUUUGGGAGGGGCCUGCGUCCCAUCAGCUAGUUGGUAGGGUAAAGGCCUACCAAGGCGAUGACGGGUAGGGGACCUGAGAGGGUGACCCCCCACACUGGCACUGAAACACGGGCCAGACACCUACGUGUGGCAGCAGUAGGGAAUAUUGGUCAAUGGGCGAAAGCCUGAACCAGCAACGCCGCGUGCGCGAUGAAGGCCUUCGGGUUGUAAAGCGCUUUUAGAGGGGAUGAGAAAGGACAGUACCCUCUGAAUAAGCCUCGGCUAACUACGUGCCAGCAGCCGCGGUAAAACGUAGGAGGCGAGCGUUAUCCGGAUUUACCGGGCGUAAAGCGCGUGCAGGUGGUACGGUAAGUUGGAUGUGAAAGCUCCUGGCUUAACUGGGAGAUGUCGUUCAAUACUGUCGAACUAGAGGAUGGGAGAGGAAGGUGGAAUUCCGAGUGUAGUGGUGAAAUGCGUAGAUAUUCGGAGGAACACCAGUGGCGAAAGCGGCCUUCUG